rnacentral:rRNA from 1 species
GUUUAUGGCCAUACCACCCUGAACACCCACAAUCUUGUCUGAUCUCAGAAGCUAAGCAUGAUUGGACCUGGUUAGUACUUGGAUGGGAGAAGGAAAGAAAGCAGAAAAGUCAACU